rnacentral:misc_RNA from 1 species
GAUGAAGAACGCAGCGAAAUGCGAUAAGUAAUGUGAAUUGCAGAAUUCCGUGAAUCAUCGAAUCUUUGAACGCACAUUGCGCCCGCCAGUAUUCUGGCGGGCAUGCCUGUUCGAGCGUCAUUUCAACCCUCAAGCACAGCUUGGUGUUGGGACUCGCGUUAAUUCGCGUUCCUCAAAUUGAUUGGCGGUCACGUCGAGCUUCCAUAGCGUAGUAGUAAAACCCUCGUUACUGGUAAUCGUCGCGGCCACGCCGUUAAACCCCAACUUCUGAAUGUUGACCUCGGAUCAGGUAGGAAUACCCGCUGAACUUAAGCAUAUCAAUAAGCGGAGGA